rnacentral:rRNA from 1 species
AUUGAACGCUGGCGGCAUGCCUUACACAUGCAAGUCGAACGGUAACAGGUUAAGCUGACGAGUGGCGAACGGGUGAGUAAUGUAUCGGAACGUGCCCAGUCGUGGGGGAUAACUGCUCGAAAGAGCAGCUAAUACCGCACACGACCUGAGGGUGAAAGCGGGGGAUCGCAAGACCUCGAGCGAUUGGAGCGGCCGAUAUCAGAUUAGGUAGUUGGUAAGGUAAAGGCGCACCAAGCCGACGAUCUGUAGCUGGUCUGAGAGGACGACCAGCCACACUGGGACUGAGACACGGCCCAGACUCCUACGGGAGGCAGCAGUGGGGAAUUUUGGACAAUGGGCGCAAGCCUGAUCCAGCCAUGCCGCGUGCGGGAAGAAGGCCUUCGGGUUGUAAACCGCUUUUGUCAGGGAAGAAAAGGUUCUGGCUAAUACCUGGGACUCAUGACGGUACCUGAAGAAUAAGCACCGGCUAACUACGUGCCAGCCGCCGCAGUAACAC